ensembl:lncRNA
GGUGCAAAACCCCACCUGGACACUCAUUGGCCACUUCUUGCUCCUUUUAUAUUGACAUUUUUGUCAUUUAACAAAUGCUUUUAUCCUGAUUUACAAAAAGGAAAUGAAAGAAGGAAGAAACAAUGUUUAAUCUUCACUCAACCAAUAAAACAUCACAAUAUGUCCUUCAUUCACCAUAGACAUCCUGGUGAGUGUGUGUGGUUGAUCUCACCAGCCUCAUGUAAAGCAGCCUCCCUCCUCUUACUGAUUGGAUACUGGGAUGUGGGUGAGGCUGCAUGCCUGUGGUGCAAUGAAGCCACACAGGUUGAACCAGCCGUCACUAGGGUUGGCCAUCGUUUGGAUUUUAACAAUUCUGAUUCAGAUUCUGAUUAUGCUUAUCGAUUUAGAUUCUGGAAUUUCUGAUUCUUUGAGGGGCGGGAAAAAAAAACGGACAGGUUGCCGUGGGUCGUAACCACGGUGAUAGCACGCCCCCUUCAUUCCUAAAAUUCUCAGCCCGAAAUGGGCUCAAUGGCACCUUCACUCUUUGGGUGCCUAAAUGUCGGGGUAUUAACCUCUGCGAUCACCACGUAACCAUCAUGUGCAUCUUCCCACGAACAAAAUAAGUUUGCACAGGUUUUGCAUCGUGCCGACACGUCAUUGUUAUUUACAUAAUGGAGCCAGGCCGAUUUUGUUGCCAGGGUGAAACGCCUGCUGUGGCAGUAAGCCCGAUUCCGACCCUGCAGUAAACCUGUUUUAUACACCACCAGCUGCUGUCCAGUUUCGUAGGAGCCCAGUGAAGACACCUAGGUGUCGGUGGUAGGGUCAACUUGCUACCAUCAUCUAGCAUACAAAUGUGCUGUGUGCUGACACAAUGUACAGACCACCUACUGCUCUUCGAGCCAUCAAUGUGUUGAGAUCCCAUUUGCCGACUUAUGGGAUCAAGAAUGACCCAUGAAAGGCAUGAUGAGACGGACGACCAAUUUUUUUUUAAAAAAAACAUGUUUUUUAACAAUAAGAAUUGUAUUUUCAAGUCUAAGCAAAAACAAAAACUAAGCAAAAACAAGUGCAAAUAAAACAAAUAGCUUAUGACAGGUGAAAACACAUGAACAGGUAAACACAGGCACGUCUAUCCGUCAAGCUGGCAGUCAGUAUCCAUAGCAGCAGCUAGAGUUCUCGCAAAAAAAUUGUAAUUGAUUAUAAUUAUUUGGUUAAUGAUGUAUCAAAGUACUUUUCUUCUUCUGAAGAUGAUUUCACCAAUAUUGAUACAUUUAUAAUUAGUGAGGUGAAGGGAAAAAAAAAACUAUUUCCUGAACAUGUAGCCUAUAGUUUGGAGUUGGAUCUUUUGCUGAACAAUAACCCAAUAUACU